UGCCAAUGACGAAACAUAUGGUACAUAUGUAAUGUAUGAUUUUUCAUGAUUACCAUACCAUUACUGCCUUCCUUCCGAGGCU